ACCCACAAGCUGUCGCGCCCGUCGAACCCGGAGUUCCGGACGCUGUUCAAGGCCAGCCGCCCCAACGUGGCCAUGUUCUAAGCGCCAGUUGGGCUGCCUUUGGACAGCAGGCGUGGUGGGAGCCACUGCUGCGGCAAGAACUUUGUUGCACAGGGCUGCCGCGUUGGCAGCAGCUGCUGCCUGAGCUGCUAUGUGUGGGACUUGGCAUAUUCGUUGGCAAGGGCAUCGGCAACAGCGGCGGCUGUGUCGUAGCGUUUGCUGGGGCCGCCGGGGUGGGCGCUGCGGC
rnacentral:lncRNA from 1 species